rnacentral:lncRNA from 1 species
AUGAUGCUUAAAUGCUUUUGUUGUUGUUCUCUUUUUCAGGUAAGUGAAAAGAUAUCUUCUGAAGUGUUCUGCAGAAAUUGUGCAGGUGGCAGUUCUCUUAGAAGAAAAAAGGAGGCAGGGAUCCUUGAAAUGACCUUUCGUUUGCUGUCUAAAAUAAACCACUCAUUUGCAGAAUUGGCCAGUACUGCACAUUGGAUGUCUACUGAUGCAAAGGUGUUCUGUCAUCCCAUUAACAGCCUUUCUAACUGUGUUAGCCAAAGAAGGAAGAAGCACUUAACGCCAGGCCCAUGCACCAGUCCCACCACUCAUGACCCAGAGCAACAGGAGGAGAAUGCUUCCUUCCCGGACUUGGCUGUUCUUCCUUCUUCUGGGGUCCUUUUAGAAAACAACAGGAAGGAAAGGAGAAAAAAAGUAUCCGACAGUGGGGAAGCCUGAAGCUGCAACACAAAUAAUGAUUAUUCCUGUCAAGGUUUAGCCGUGGUUGCUAAGUUACUGGCCUGUUCUGAAAAACCUUGAAGUAUGGGACACAUUAGGAGCUCGUUAGGUCCCGGUGACUUGCGGUAAAUGUACAAUUUGUCUCUGUGCUAAACACACUUCAAAAAUAACAAUAAAAUAAAACCCCACAUGGCUUAAAAUGUGUGA